UUUUCUUUUAUUGAUAGCUUGAAAAAUUAACAAUAAAACUUCACCAGUUAUCCUGCAAGAAUAAGUUUUCAUUGGGAACAGCAAGUAAAAUUUCAGAGUUGAUGGAUCGGGCUGCUGGACCAUAUAAUGGCUUGAAAAUCGGAGACUUUGUAACUCUUGAGAAAAGAUUUUUCAUUUUGUUUAUCGUAGAAAACAUAUCACUCUUGAUGCUAUUCACGGUUAACAUUGGACCUUUGAUGAAGUGAAAUCGUGAAUUCAAAGAAUAAGCGAAUGCUGAGAAGUGAUUAAUGGACGACUUUUUCCAAAACUUUUUUAUUCCAAACACGAACCAAUUUACGUACUUCAACUUCAUACAAAACAAUGUAGAGCUCAUUUCAUGAUCAAGUUAAUGCAUAAAUGUAUUGUUAACACACUUGUUAUUAAAUAUUAUUAGA